CUUGACAUCCCUGACAACCGAGAGAGUCCGGGCGGUUCCCCCGUUCCGGGGGGACGAGGGUGACAGGUGGUGGCAUGGUUGUCGUCAGCUCGUGUCGUGAGAUGUUGGGUUAAGUCCCGCAACGAGCGCAACCCUCGACCUUAGUUGCCAGCAUUCAGUUGGGCACUCUAAGGUGGCUGCCGGCUAAAAGUCGGAGGAAGGUGGGGAUGACGUCAAAUCAUCAUGCCCCUUAUGACCUGGGCUACACACGUGCUACAAUGGGCGGUACAAAGGGUCGCGAACCCGCGAGGGGGAGCCAAUCCCAAAAAGCCGCUCUCAGUUCGGAUUGCAGGCUGCAACUCGCCUGCAUGAAGCCGGAAUCGCUAGUAAUCGCGGAUCAGCAUGCCGCGGUGAAUACGUUCCCGGGCCUU
rnacentral:rRNA from 1 species